rnacentral:rRNA from 1 species
AUUACCGCGGCUGCUGGCACGUAGUUAGCCGUGGCUUCCUCCUUGGGUACCGUCAUUAUCGUCCCCAAAGACAGAGCUUUACAACCCGAAGGCCUUCAUCACUCACGCGGCGUUGCUGCAUCAGGGUUUCCCCCAUUGCGCAAUAUUCCCCACUGCUGCCUCCCGUAGG